rnacentral:siRNA from 1 species
UUUGCAUGGGUAAUUUAGUA